CCUUCGAUAGCUCAGUUGGUAGAGCGGUGGACUGUAGUUGGGAAGCUCCUUUAUAUAGACAUCCAUAGGUCGCUGGUUCGAAUCCGGCUCGAAGGA
rnacentral:tRNA from 1 species